GUGUGAAUUGUGUUACCCACCAGUCAGAAUGAAGAAGCCUGUUCUCCUCUCUGCAGCCGUGCUGCUGCUGGUUUUUGUUUGGCAGUCAGCUCAAAGUAACGAUAACACUUACUUCAAAGUGGUGGUUAAUACGCCACCCUAUAGCAUUAAGAACUACAACACUUUUACCGCUCCUAAUGGAAGCCUCUUCGGUGGACUGAUAAGACUGAAAAUGUCAGACCAAGGCUUUGACUUUGAAUACAAAGUAAAUGAUGACUAUGGACCAUUCCUCAUCAGUGUGAAUGGCUUGGCAGGAAAUUCAUCACACUACUGGCAACUGCUGAGUGGUACAACCCCACUUGAUGUUGGUAUGGGAUGUUACAUUCCAACAGCAAAUGAAGUCAUCACCCUUAAAUACACCUCAACACAACAGGAUCAUCUGAAGUUUCAUUCUGACUUAUAGUCAACCAACAUGGUUUGGUUUUUGGCAGGUUUAAGUUAAUACUUAGUUUUUGGGUAAUUUUUCUGUUUGGAAGCGUUUUUAAUGACAAAAUGUUUUGAAAAUCUUCUAAUCAUAAAUUGGUAGCCUAUCACUGUCUUAGUUUCUUUGACUGGGUUUGUGUUAGACUUAAUGAAUUAAGAUUACAGCUUUUAUCUACACGUCUGCCACAGUGUAGUAACCUGAAGUAACAGAAAACUCCAUUGGUUACAAGAGUAAUCAGUAAAACAUAUUAAAGUUUAAAGACAUGCAACACUUGCAUAUUAGUCAACUGAAGUUCUUGAACUGUUUUUUAAUUUACUGCCUUUAUGGCAACUUUUAUUGUGUUUGAGAGUAAUUAGUAGUUUCUCAACUUGCUCCUGAGUGUCAUAAUUUUACAUUCAAAUUCCAUUAUUUGAGAGGUACUUAUAUACUGACAAGGGAUAUCAGUUUCAGUGUAAAAAGAUGGUGUGGUUAUACAGUAGAGUGCUCAAAGUCUGCUGGCCAGGAAAAACAGCCAAUAAGGGCAGCUUAGCUUUAAAAUGGCUUCUGCAUCCUACGAAUCCAGUUAUCAACAGCUUGGGAGCCAGGAGGCUUCUGAGAUUGACUGGGAAGCUGACCUCCUCUUGGACACCAGCAAGUCUCUAAGAUCAGCUGUGAAAUUAAAACUAUUUUUGAGCUUUUGGGGGCUCCUAUGGGGUUGUGAGCAGAAUAAGAACAAAUUUAUUGCUUAAUAAUUUUUGUAUUAGUGCAUUACUGUUGAAUAACUGUUGAAUAAAAGCCUCCACUAACCACUCUGGUUUGGUGAGGAAAGAAAAAAAAUCAGCAAAGAGGGGAAAAAAAAAAUAAAAAAAUUAAGAGCUCUAAGAAAAAAACUGUUGUCAAUCUAUCCGGGUAGUGUGUGUAUGUGUGUGGAUAAGCCCAGUGCUUAUCUGUAAAGUUUAGUAGAAUCUUUGUUCGCCAUCCUCCUGGGUGGAGGGAUACGUCUCUGGAGAAGAACUUCAGUGGAUUCACAUUCAGUCUCUCGCAUUAUGUCACAACAUAGUAAAAAAACAACUGGAAAAUGGGAUGUAUGGUGAGCAAAUCGCCAUAAGUCUUUAUCUGUAAAAACCUUAACACUUAUUAUUUUAAGGUUCCUAUUCACUCCAGUACUCCAUGCUCUCUGUUCUUUUUUUCCUGGCUUGCUGUCUAUCUGCUUGCACUGCAAUUAUUCUUAUUGCCUCAUAAGGCUUUGCAGAACAACUAUAGUGCCAUCUGCUGGAUAACAUUGGUACUGCAUAUAUUAAACAUUAAAACUGGCUUGAAUACCAGUGGAUAACUUUGAGAGGGUUACAUUCUCUUCCUCUUAAGCCGCAUGCAUGUGGAACUUUACACUGUUUCAGUGUCCUGGGCAUAAGUUGAUCUGCGCUAGGUACACUGUCAAGGGUGAAGGCUUGGGUGAAAGCUUGGUCUAACCCAGAUACAAUGGAGUGCUUGACUCUCACUAAAGGAUUUCCUAACAUUGGAUAAGUUAGCUUCUUUGGAGCUGUCCUCUCCCUUGAUGACCUCCUUACCCCACAUGCUCUUCAUGAUUAGGGGCAUCUUUAGAGAGAUUUGGUUCUCCUCUUCUUUCUUCCUCCAUAACAUUGAUUUUUUGUUGCUUACUUCUAUAAUCAAUGUAUGAGUAUCACCCAACCUAGUUAAGCAAUUAUCAGAUUGGUUGUCUUCAGCUGGAUUGAUCUCAUGCAGGGGCGAUCGCUGAACCUAGUCCUUCUCAUUGUCUUCAUUCUGGGCUGUCAUUGGUUGGAAUUCGUGAGAUUUAGAGUAGAGAGCUCUUGACUCAACUCAGAUUCAACAGGGUGAGGCUGAUCAAUUUGUCCCAAAAUGUCUCCUGUAGAUUACUUUUUGUGAACUUUUACUCCAGCCAGUCUUUCUGUGACUGCAAUCUGGUCGGCUUCUUAAGGUCCAUCUUUUACUACAUUAGGCUCAUUAUAGGGCAGAGAAUGAAGAGAGUAAUACUGAACUUCAUCUUCAGUGCUCUCCUUGGGGCAUUUUGUUAAACUCCCAGAAUCCCAUGGGUGUCACGAAAGCAGUUUUACAUUUGUCUUGUUCCUCAACUUCCCCUUGAUAACAGGCGGAUUUCAGAUCCAGGAUGAAGAACCACUUCGACCCAGUCAAAGCUGAGAAAGGUUCUUCAAUGUUGGGCAAAGCGUAGACAUCUUUGAUGGGUUUACUGUUCAGUUUACAAUAAUCUACACAUAAUGUGAUGUUGCCAUUUUUUUUCUUAACCACAACAAUAGGAGAGGCAUAAGGGCUCUCUGAUUCACGUAUGAUGUUAGCAUCUUGAAGCUCUUUUAAAUGUAGUCUGACUGCCUCGUAGUCAGAAAACAAGAUGGCGCCACGGGAGAGGCUACCAGUUACAGGAGCUCUGACCAACUCCCAUUCUUUUAAAUUAUUUAAUCACUUAUUUAACCUCUUUUCCUUGCUUUUUUCACUUUUUGUUUAUAGGACCAUUUAUGUCGUGUCUUCCUUUAAUUUAAUUUCUUGGUUAUCCUCUCCUUCCACUCCCCAGGUAGGCUUGACUCAGAAGAGUCAAAGGUGAGUGCACCCGAGUCAGACACAUACAGAGCUGCACGCUGCCGUAGCUGGAACCAAAAGAUAUUGGUCAUCAGACAGAGUUUUGACAGUUCUUUCAGUCAAGGAUGACACAGCUUUUGGAAAGAUGAGUUCUGCAAUAACCUGGCCAGCAGGCAUUUUAAUAUCAUGUGCCGUCUCAUUCUUAACUAGAAUUGGGACCUUAAAUGAUGAACAUAAAGGGCAUGACAUUAUAAAACUGCAAAACAAGAACCCACCAGGCAAGGUAUCAGAUGUUGUUGUGAUCUUCCUUGCAUAUCCAGUUAAGGACAUUUUUUUCCUGCAGGAACAAUGAUGCACUUUUUACUCUGCAGCUUCAAUUUCCCUACUCUGCCAUUGUCUUGAUGGGUUUUGAACCUGUGAUAGAGAUGCUUCACCAGUGGGGGCUGAUGGAUGUGUUUUCCUGUAAAGAAUGAUUUGGCUGAGCUUUUCCUAACCCAGCUGUUUCAUACAAAAUAUCCAGGGUAUUGGUCCCCAUCAGCAAGGGCACUUCUAUGUUUGUCCUGUGAUCAGGAGGCACAAGAACUGUGUCAACUUCAGCAUGAAUCAUCCACAGCAGAAAACCAUCAUAAAUGCAUUAUUAAGGGACAUGAUUAUUGGUUGCAACCUGCCCCUGUCUAUUGUGGAAAACAAGAUUUUUCAGCACUUUCUGACACUAGUUAACAGCAAAUACAACCUGGUAAGUCACAGAACAAUUACAUAAAAAACAGAGAACCUUGCUGCUGAGAAAUGUUCAAUGUUAAAAACUCAGUUUAGUGAAACUGAUCAUGUUUCACUCACUGUGGACGUUUGGUCUGACAGAAAGAUGAGGGGUUUACUUGGUAUCACUGUGCACUGCAUACAGAAAGAGACAGAAAGGACACAGCUGAAAUCCAAACUGCUGGCCUUUGACCGCUUCAAAGGAUUACACACAUGUGACAGAAUCUGUGAGAAAUUUGAAGCUAUAUGUGACAAAUACAAUAUCAAAGAUAAACCAUACAAUAUUAUUAGCGACAAUGCUGCCAAUAUGCGGAAAGCAUUCACUGUGUGUUUUCCCCACUGAGCAAGGUGAGGAACAUGACAAUGAUUGUGAUCAUCAUCAUGUCCCAGAGCUCUGGCACGACUUAACCUUGGAAGUUCAGUAAACAGUAGGCACUGCUAUGGCAAAGAAACAGCGCCUGCAGUGUUUUGCGCACACACUUCAGCUGGUUGUGGGAGACGGGUUUUCAGAGACCAAAAGUGGCAUCUCCUUCUUUUUUAAAAUGGUCUAAGCUCAGCUCUCUACUGCACACAAGCACAACAUUCAAAGAUGUGUUUGAAGCUGAAUUUGGUGAACAGAAAGCGAUCCCUGCCGCUGUAAUCACAAGAUGGAAUUCAACAAUGAGACAAGUGAAGGCAGUUCUCCGACGUGAACAUCUAAAACUCUGUGCUGCUCUUGAAAUGGCUGGGCACAAGGAGUUAUUAUUCACAGCACGAGAGUGGAACCUGUUGAAGGAAAUGGUGGACAUCUUAAAGCCUUUCGGGGGAGCAAAAGAUUUGAUACAAGGUGAGAAAAUAGUCACUAUCAGUGCUGUUGUUCCAUCCGUGUCAUGUUACGGCUGUGUGCAGACAAGAAUAGGACCCAAGGUGCAGACUCCGGAGACAGUCAUGAACUCAAAACAGCUUUAUUGCUGAACAAAGAAUAUCUACAAAACCUAAACUGAGAAGAAACUAACAAAACACACACAGGGAGCCACAGGGAGAUACACACAGCAUGAGGGACGACGCGACACUGACUCAAAGAAACACAGGGUUUAAGUACACUGGGAAGUAACGAGGGGAAUGAGACACAGAAGGAGGGCACAGCUGGGAGAAAUCAGAACUAACGAGACAAGGAAGCAAAGCAGGACACAUUCACAUAAGACCCGGACCUUCAAAGUAAAACAGGAAGUAACACAGACUGAACUUACAGACACAGACUCACAGGCAAGCACUACAGAGGGAACAGAGGUGGGAACAGGGCAGACACAGACACUGACUGGACACGAGGAUAUAGCCGACAGGGGAGACAGCAACUAAGGAUAACACAGAGACAUAAACCAUCAGACAGAACUUCAAAGAAACCAAAGACUAGAAAUGAUAAAUAUAAUAAACUCAAAACCCUGGGUCAACGACCCAGGCAUCCUAACAAUCCGUGCUGUCCCUCAAUCACCACCUUGAGAAACUGAAGAUUUCUUGGAAUCUUUAUCAGUGUGCGAAUGGCUAGAGCAGAAGAUGAGAUCACUGCCCCCUUUUCAGAUCCAGUGUACUGUCACGGUACUGUGUCUGUGACCCCGUGUUUUGUGUUUGUUGGUUAAUUUAUCUGUCUCAGUG
rnacentral:lncRNA from 1 species